AUUGUCUCUGCCCUGUCUCUGACUGGUCAUAUUGUCUCUGCCCUGUCUCUGCUGGUCAUAUUGUCUCUGACUGGUCAUAUUGUCUCUGCCUGUCUCUGACUGGUCAUAUUGUCUCUGACUGGUCAUUUGUCUUGCCCUGUCUCUGACUGUUCAUAUUGUCUCUGACUGGUCAUAUUGUGUCUGACUGGUCAUAUUGUCUUGACUGGUCAUAUUGUCUGACUGGUCAUUUGUCUCUGACUGGUCAUAUUGUCUCUGCCC
rnacentral:lncRNA from 1 species